rnacentral:rRNA from 1 species
GAUAAACGCUGGCGGCGUGCAUAACACAUGCAAGUCGAACGAAGUGGCGAACGGGUGAGUAACACGUGAGUAACCUGCCUUACACAAGGGGAUAGCCUUUGGAAACGAAGAAUAAUACCCUAUAGUGUAAGAUGGACUUGCGUCUGAUUAGCUAGUUGGUGAGAUAAAAGCCCCCCAAGGCGACGAUCGGUAGCCGGCUGGAGAGGGGGGAGUGCCACAUUGGGACGGAGACAAGGCCAAAACUCUACGGGAGGCAGCAGUGGGGAAAUUUGCACAAUGGGGGAAAGCCUGAUGCAGCGACGCCGCGGGAUUGAGAAGGCCUUAGGGUUGUAAAAAUCUUUUUUAUGGGAUGCAGUACCAUAAGAAUAAGGUCCGGCUAAAUACGUGCCAGCAGCCGCGGUAAUUC